UGCCGGCGAGCGGCGGACGGGUGAGUAACGCGUAGGAAUCUACCUAGUAGAGGGGGACAACAUGUGGAAACGCAUGCUAAUACCGCAUACGCCUUUAGGGGGAAAGCAGGGGAUCUUAGGACCUUGCGCUAUUAGAUGAGCCUGCGUGAGAUUAGCUAGUUGGUAGGGUAAAGGCCUACCAAGGCGACGAUCUCUAGCUGGUCUGAGAGGAUGACCAGCCACACUGGGACUGAGACACGGCCCAGACUCC
rnacentral:rRNA from 1 species